UUUGAUGUUCUCACGAUAGAGUUCGUAAUUUAAGAAGAGGCUGGCCGCAACAUUUCAAAACACGUACACAAAGCGAGAAGCAACUUCCCUUCCUUUUACACUUCCUGUCAUUUUCUGAGUAAGCGAGAAAGAGAGAGAAAUGGAGCGCUGCACAGACAACAAAGAGUUUCAGUCAACAAAAUCUGACAGGAGUGGCCUCCUGGUGUGGUCUUCUGCUGUUGUAAUCCACCUGCUUCAUGGUUCAACAUGUUGUGCAUUCACAAAUGCUCUUCUGCAUGCUUUGGCUGUAACCAGAGAGAAUUGCUGCUCACUGGAUACUUUCUCUUUUCCAUUGGGGAGACGGUUGUGUGGGAUCAUUACAGUAAAUAAGCAGUUUCAGAAAUGCUCAGAGAAGCACAUCUGCCAUGUUAAAAGUCAC
ensembl:lncRNA